ACUCUCGCUGGAUGCUGGGGAGGUGGAACGACGACGUGAACUCCUCCAUGCUAUGAGGAAGUCCAAGCAGCCAUGGGAGAGGCCCACAUGGAGGAAAGUUGUGGCCCCAGCUGAUAUCCAGCACCAAAUUGCCAUUCAUGUGAAGGAGCCAUCUGGAAAAUGGACCCCCCAUUCCCAGCCAAGCCUCCCCCGCUGACAGCAUGUGGAGCAGAGGAUUAGGAUCAAUACCUGCUGCUCGGCUUUUAUUCAAGUGAUGGAUAGCUUCAGAAGCCCUUAUCUGGGCUGGUUUGCUGUCUCCAUCUGAUACUCCAAACUGACCUUCAGCCUAAGCGUCUUCAAACAUGUCCAUAUUUUAAGGAUGCAAGAGAGAUGAUUAUGGGCCAGGAGAACUCCGAGAGUAUCCAAGUUAACAACCCGGUUAGACAGACAUGCAAUUAGUAUGUCAUCUGCUUGUAAAGUUGGCCCAGGGAGGAAGUUCUGGCCAGCGAGAUGAGAGUGGAAUUGCUGAAUGCAGUUUACAGACGAAGACCUUACAAAGAAGGGGCACCUCCUUCCGUCUCACUUCCCAUUGGCUUGUUGUGGGAGCAGGCCCUCGUGGACAUGGUGGUGAAGGCAAUACACUAUGAAAGGGGGGACAGUAAGUAGGAGGCGCCUGGGUCGCUGACUUAUCUCUGAUAUUCCUCGGAUGCCACGAUGUUGGGAUCCUCUAUUAGGGAUUGAGAUUUUUCCUCCCUAGCUUACCAGCAAUAUCCCUCUUCUCUGCUGCCCUUCCUAUUAGCUUCCUUACUACCAAUGGCAAAACAGGACCUUACAUCACAAUUUUUCAAUUUUGUCCUUAUAUUUUGCCUCUUGAGAACCUUACAACAGGGUGAAAUGCAUUAGCACCAUUUUGCAGAUGAGGAAACUAUGACAAAGUGACUUCCUCUCAGUGCUGGUAGUACCAUUCAUUGGAGAGUACGGAAAGGACCCCAAAAUCCAGAUUGCCAAGAUCCAAGGAUUUCAAGAAGUGAGGGUUCUCCUCAGAAGUGCUUUGGCUCUUCACGGUGCCAUAGGCUUUGUUUCUGUCUAACAGUGCUGUGCACCCUCCUCCCGCUUCUCAGUCAAGAUGGGACCCAGGAGCGCUCUCACUCUCGCCUUUCUUAACUGGAUCCCACAUAACAGGCUCCGUGGAGUCAGAAUGAGACCUGUGGGGGCCCUAGGUAAUCAUUUGGGAUCACUUUAAAUCAGUGUCCUUUAAAGAAUCUUCAGCAUCCAUUGAGUGGGGAAAAAAAAAAAGAAGGUGAGCCCUGAACAGGUGAAGAGCUUAAGAGGACACAAGUGACAGUCCCCCAGGAAAGCCACAGCCGGGAAUUUAGCUGGCACUCCUCAGGUGGCACUUGGCUUACCACCUAUUGCUAUUCAAGCUCACUCCUUCCAGGGGAGAUCUUUCCAAAGCUUUCCCCAACCCUAAGGUAUAGAACAGCUCAGAUUCCUUCCAACUAUGUGCACUAUUCUCCCAGAAGUGUAUCCUAAAUGCAGGGCUUCCAUCCCCUCACAUUUCUAUUAUGUUUAAAAAGUCCUCAUGAGCUGUACCUCCGGCUCCCUCUGCCUGGCUCAAGCCUGUCUCCAGCUCUCACCAUCUAUCUCCCGGGAGAGUGAGAUCUGACCCGAAAGAUGGAUUCAAUGGCAAAGAAUUGAGGGAUCCAAGCAGCAGCUACAGAAGAGCAGGUGAGAGAAGCAAGGGGACGAGCAGGGCGAAAAGCCACCAACCAGGCCAGCCUCUCUCUGCAGGCUGGGAUCUCCCUUGCAGUCACUAGAGGGUCCUCAGGUGACCUAGCACACUCAGGCUCUACAAUUGCCUCUGCCGCAUGGAGGUCCCAUGCCCCAUCCUCCAAGAUCCGAGUCCCUCUACUCAUAUCACUAGAUGAGACUGGUCUUUGCAACAAAUGAAGCAGCGACAUUUGCUGGAGUUCAAGUUUCAUUUCCUCAACCCACUGGUGCUAGAGUUUCAUUUUUCAAAAGAAGUCGACAUUGAAUAUUGAUAUGUGUUAUGAAAGCUGUAAAAUCAAGGAGGAUAACAAGGCGUUGUUAUUGACAUGGGGUGUGUCUGAGGGCACACUGGCAGUAAAAAUGAGUUUCCCACACAUUCCCACGUAGGCGGCUGCUCAGCGUCACCAACCACUGGUUAAUUCAUUAAUAUUAUUCAGUGAAAAACGCUUCUUCCAUUCCAUUUGUUAAUAAAUCUAUUUUCAUUCUUAUGGAAAUCAGCCCCUUUUCAAGUUCAUUUAAGAAGAAUAUUUCAUAACUUUCUAGUAUGGGAAGUAUUUUUAUUUAAAUACUUGCAACAACUAAAUUGAGAACGUGUACCUUUCAUUUUUAAAGAUAUUUCCUUGUGGUUCUUGAAUGCCCUGUGGUUAGAAAAGACUGAGAAGUUAUGAAACAUGAGAGAGAUAAUUAAAUAAAAUGGAAAGUGAUU
rnacentral:lncRNA from 1 species